UACGUAGGGUGCGAGCGUUGUCCGGAAUUAUUGGGCGUAAAGAGCUCGUAGGCGGUCUGUCGCGUCGAUCGUGAAAACUUGGGGCUUAACCCUGAGCUUGCGGUCGAUACGGGCAUGACUGGAGUUCGGCAGGGGAGACUGGAAUUCCAGGUGUAGCGGUGAAAUGCGUAGAUAUCUGGAGGAACACCGGUGGCGAAGGCGGCAUCCUGGACCAAUUCUGACGCUGAGGAGCGAAAGCCAGGGGAGCAAACGGG
rnacentral:rRNA from 1 species